rnacentral:rRNA from 1 species
UACGGAGGGUGCGAGCGUUGUCCGGAAUCACUGGGCGUAAAGGGCGCGUAGGCGGCGCGGGGAGUCAACGGUGAAAGCUCGGCGCUCAACGCCGAGUCGGCCGUCGAUACUCCCGUGCUCGAGCACUGUAGAGGCAGGUGGAAUUCCGGGUGUAGCGGUGGAAUGCGUAGAGAUCCGGAAGAACACCGGUGGCGAAGGCGGCCUGCUGGGCAGUAGCUGACGCUGAGGCGCGACAGCUUGGGGAGCAAACAGG